GACUACUCGGGUAUCUAAUCCUGUUCGCUCCCCACGCUUUCGUGCAUCAGCGUCAAUAAACCAUUAGUAACCUGCCUUCGCAAUUGGUAUUCCAUGUAAUAUCUAAGCAUUUCACCGCUACACUACAUAUUCUAGUUACUUCACAGUAAUUCAAGUUAAACAGUAUCAAUGGCAGUUCGACAGUUAAGCUGCCGGAUUUCACCACUGACUUAUUUAACCGCCUACGGACCCUUUAAACCCAAUGAUUCCGGAUAACGCUUGGAUCCUCCGUAUUACCGCGGCUGCUGGCACGGAGUUAGCCGAUCCUUAUUCUUACGGUACCGUCAAGCUCCUACACGUAGGAGUGUUUCUUCCCGUACAAAAGCAGUUUACACACCAUAGAUGCUUCUUCCUGCACGCGGCAUGGCUGGUUCAGUCUUCCGCCCAUUGACCAAUAUUCCUCACUGCAGCCUCCCGUAGG
rnacentral:rRNA from 1 species